rnacentral:rRNA from 1 species
CCAGCCAUGCCGCGUGUGUGAAGAAGGCCUUUUGGUUGUAAAGCACUUUAAGCGAGGAGGAGGCUACCGAGAUUAAUACUCUUGGAUAGUGGACGUUACUCGCAGAAUAAGCACCGGCUAACUCUGUGCCAGCAGCCGCGGUAAUACAGAGGGUGCGAGCGUUAAUCGGAUUUACUGGGCGUAAAGCGUGCGUAGGCGGCUUUUUAAGUCGGAUGUGAAAUCCCUGAGCUUAACUUAGGAAUUGCAUUCGAUACUGGGAAGCUAGAGUAUGGGAGAGGAUGGUAGAAUUCCAGGUGUAGCGGUGAAAUGCGUAGAGAUCUGGAGGAAUACCGAUGGCGAAGGCAGCCAUCUGGCCUAAUACUGACGCUGAGGUACGAAAGCAUGGGGAGCAAACAGGAUUAGAUACCCUGGUAGUCCAUGCCGUAAACGAUGUCUACUAGCCGUUGGGGCCUUUGAGGCUUUAGUGGCGCAGCUAACGCGAUAAGUAGACCGCCUGGGGAGUACGGUCGCAAGACUAAAACUCAAAUGAAUUGACGGGGGCCCGCACAAGCGGUGGAGCAUGUGGUUUAAUUCGAUGCAACGCGAAGAACCUUACCUGGUCUUGACAUAGUAAGAACUUCCAGAG